GUGGUGUGCACCUGUAAUCCCAGCUCUGUAACUGAUGCCUUGCAUCAGACACAGGGGAAGUGAGAGGCAGUUGGGCUUUGGCCUAAGAAAAGCACCUGACAAACAUACAUGUGUAAUUUUAUUAUAAAGGAAGAUAUAAAAAUGGGGGUAAAUGAACUCAUUUUAUUACCUUGAGCAUUAAACUUCAUCUGUAUAUGGCAGGUGUCUUUUCGUACUAGUGACUGUCAUCUGCUAAACACAGGCUUUGGAAUGUUGUUCUGGUUUGUGUAUUUCUGCAAAGUUCUGGAAUGUGGCUCUGGUAGGCUUCCUGAUGUAAAAGACCCGGAUCCUGUCUCUGACAGGGGUGUUUAAUAAGCAUUCGCCAAACUGCCAAAUGAGCAUCUUAGUUCUCAGUGGAGAUUAAAGGUUAAGCAGGUGUUUUUCCAGGCUCUACGUAUAAUUUAAAUUUCAAUCGUUAUUUUACACAGAUUAAUCUAGAAGUUGUUAGAAGCAAACAUGGAGCCAUGCAUAUUUCCAUCAUAAACAGGAAAAAUAAAAUAUCUACAGACUUCGAGGGGCCUUCGGGGUCUUGGCACCCUGCCAGUUGCAUCUCCCCUGUGGAGGCAUUUGGCUUAUGAUCUUGCAGGGGCUGUUUGUUUCCAAGUCCUGCUCUACCUGUUUCUCGGUGUCUUAGUUCUUGCUUUUAGUAGAGAAUAUAUUUUAUUCUUUCCUCUUCAAAGAUUUUGUAUGUGUGGCUAUGAAUGAGCAAUUCAUGUUCAUUGUAAAAACAUGCCAAGUGCAGAAUGGUAUAAAGAAGCCGCAACAACAACAAAAAAAACCCUCAUAAAUCUUAGUACCUAUUGGCAACCCCUAUUCAUAUUUUGCCUGAUUUCUUUCCAUUAGGUUUUCUUUGUAUUUUUGACAUCAUUGAACCACACUCUUUUUUUUUUGAGAUGGAGUCUCACUCUGUCGCCCAGCUGGAGUGCAGUGUGGCACGACCUCAGCUCACUGCAACCUCCACCUCCCGGGUUCACGUGAUUCUCCUGCCUCGGCCUCCCAAAGUGCUGGGAUUACAGGUGUGAGCCACCAUGCCUGGCCACACUGUAUUUUUCUUUUUUUUUUUAGAGACGGAGUUUUGCUUUUUUUGCCUAGGCUGGAGUGCAAUGGCAUGAUCUCGGCACAACUGUAACCUCCACCUCCCGGGUUCAGGUGAUUCUUCUG
rnacentral:lncRNA from 10 species